AACGAACGCUGGCGGCAUGCCUAACACAUGCAAGUCGAACGAUUGCCUUCGGGUGAUAGUGGCGCACGGGUGCGUAACGCGUGGGAAUCUGCCCUUAGGUUCGGAAUAACAGCUGGAAACGUCUGCUAAUACCUGAUGAUAUCGCGAGAUCAAAGAUUUAUCGCCUGAGGAUUAGCCCGCGUUGGAUUAGGUAGUUGGUGGGGUAAAGUCCUACCAAGCCGACGAUCCAUAGCUGGUCUGAGAGGAUGAUCAGCCACACUGGGACUGAGACACGGCCCAGACUACUACGGGAGGCAGCAGUGGGGAAUAUUGGAAAAUGGGCGCAAGCCUGAUCCAGCAAUGACGCGUGAGUGAUGAAGGCCCUAGGGUUGUAAAGCUCUUUUACCCGGGAAGAUAAUGACUGUACCGGGAGAAUAAGCCCCGGCUAACUCCGUG
rnacentral:rRNA from 1 species